UACGAAGGGAACUAGCGUUGUUCGGAUUUACUGGGCGUAAAGAGCAUGUAGGCGGAUUGGUCAGUUGGGGGUGAAAGCCCGGAGCUCAACUCCGGAACGGCCUUCAAUACUGCCAGUCUAGAGUCUGUAAGGGGGUGGUGGAAUUCCGAGUGUAGAGGUGAAAUUCGUAGAUAUUCGGAGGAACACCAGUGGCGAAGGCGACCACCUGGUACAGUACUGACGCUGAGAUGCGAAAGCGUGGGGAGCAAACAGG
rnacentral:rRNA from 1 species